AGUCGAGAAUCUUCCGCAAUGGACGAAAGUCUGACGGAGCGACGCCGCGUGGUGGAUGAAGCCCUUAGGGGCGUAAACACCUUUUAUGAAGGAGGAAUUUUAUUGACGUUACUUCAUGAAUAAGGGGCUCCCAACUCUGUGCCAGCAGGAGCGGUAAUACAGAGGCCCCAAGCAUUAUCCGGAUUCACUGGGCGUAAAGGGUUCGUAGGCGGUGUUAUUAGUCGGGUGUUAAAUCCUGGGGCUCAACCCCAGACUCGCAUUCGAAACGGUAACACUAGAAGAAGUAAGAGGUGAACAGAACUCUCGGUGUAGGGGUGAAAUCCGUUGAUAUCGAGGGGAAUACCAAAUGCGAAGGCAGUUUACUGGGACUUUCUUGACGCUGAGGCACGAAAGCGUGGGUAGCGAACGGGAUUAGAUACCCCGGUAGUCCACGCCCUAAACGCUGUCUGCUAGCUAUGAGGAGUAUCGACCCUCUUCGUGGCGUAGGUAACCCGUUAAGCAGACCGCCUGGGUAGUACGAGCGCAAGCUUAAAACUCAAAGGAAUAGACGGGGGCUCGCACAAGCGGUGGAUCAUGAGGCUUAAUUCGUCGAUAAGCGAAAAACCUUACCAAGGCUAGAAACUAUACUGCACGCUCCGGGAAACCGGAGAAGCCUUCGAGGGUGUAUAACAGGUGAUGCAUGGCCGUCGUCAGUUCGUGCUUUGAAGUGUUCCCUUAAGUGGGGAAACGAACGCAACCCUCGUUGCCUGUUACAAGUGUCAGGCGAGACUGCUCCCUCACGGGAGAGGAAGGUGAGGAUGACGCCAGGUCAGCAUGUCCCUUGAUGCCUUGGGCUGCAC
rnacentral:rRNA from 1 species